rnacentral:misc_RNA from 1 species
GAAAUGCGAUACGUAGUGUGAAUUGCAGAAUUCAGUGAAUCAUCGAAUCUUUGAACGCACAUUGCGCCCUUUGGUAUUCCAAAGGGCAUGCCUGUUCGAGCGUCAUUUGUACCCUCAAGCUUUGCUUGGUGUUGGGCGUCUUUUGUCUUUGGCCUCGCCCAAAGACUCGCCUUAAAACGAUUGGCAGCCGGCCUACUGGUUUCGCAGCGCAGCACAUUUUUGCGUUUGCAAUCAGCACAAGGACGGCAAUCCAUCAAGACUACAUUUUUACGUUUGACCUCGGAUCAGGUAGGGAUACCCGCUGAACUUAAGC